rnacentral:rRNA from 1 species
UACGUAGGGGGCCAGCGUUGUCCGGAAUCAUUGGGCGUAAAGCGCGCGUAGGCGGUCAGGUAAGUCCGGUGUGAAAGUCAAAGGCUCAACCUUUGAAUGCCGCUGGAUACUGCUUGACUUGAGUCCGGAAGGGGCGAGUGGAAUUCCUGGUGUAGCGGUGAAAUGCGCAGAUAUCGAGAGGAACACCAGUGGCGAAGGCGAGUCUCUGGACGACACCUGACACUGAGGCACGAAAGCUAGGGGAGCAAACAGG